rfam:Loktanella soesokkakensis strain CECT 8367 genome assembly, contig: 0002
GGGGACCUUCGGGGCCCUUCAACGACCGGGCCCUGGUGGCCCGCAAAGCAACGGAAGACACAAA